rnacentral:rRNA from 1 species
CUGCUGCCUUCCGUAGGAGUCUGGGCCGUGUCUCAGUCCCAGGUGUGGGGGGCCUUCCUCUCAGAACCCCUACGCAUCGUCGCCACGGUGGGCCGUCACCCCGCCGUCUAGCUAAUGCGCCGCAUGCCCAUCCGCCACCGGAUCGCUCCUUUGGCCACCGGAGGAUGCCCUCCGGUGGCGUCACGGGGUAUUAGGCCGCGUUUCCGCGGGUUAUCCCCCUGUGGCGGCCAGGUUGCAUACGUGUUACUCACCCGUGCGCCCGGUCGCCGGCCGGG